CAGUUUUUUAGCUCCCAAACCUCUUUCCAUUCGAAUUUUUUAGAUCAGAAAUAGCUUUAAAAUUCAAAAAACCAAAAAAAAAACAAACAGAAAAUACAAUAGAAAAUCCUAAAACAAACACUGUUUCAUUGCCUUUCUUUAGGAUAUUUUCUAAUUCCAGCUUUAAUUCUACUUUCUAGCUCAUUUCGAAACCAAAAAUGGUCUGAGUUCUUUUGUUUCUAUUCACUAUUUGCAAUCUGAAAGUGUUUGGAGUCGCUGGCAUUGGUUUAUUCGAGUUAGCUAGGGUUUUAUUCACUGAGUGUGCUGGUCUCUUGGAUUAUUGAUGGUUAUUUGGUGCUAUUUUGUUGAUUUGUUGAUCCUGUACACAGUUGUACACCCUUGGUUGACAAAAUGAAAUGAAGUUUAGAUCAAGGCUCUUCUGCUGCAUUCUCUGUUUAGUAGGUAGACUGUAGUUAUGGUCAGUUAUGCCUAGCUGUUUAGUUUAAUUUGACUGAGCUUGAUUUGAACUAUUUCUAAUUGAUAUGAACUGCCUAGAAAUUGGAUUGUAAUAAUGUAAUUGUAUUAACUUAGGAUUGCUUAAGCUUGUGGAACUAUGAAACUUUUUGAUUUGCGACUGUUUCAUGUAUUGCACAGUCAUUUAGUAGUAGGUUCCCUUGAUUGAAAUAUAUUGAAAUGACAAGGAAUGACUGAGAAAGCAGAAGUUAGUAUGCAGUAGUUAAUCAUUUGGCAGUUAAA